rnacentral:lncRNA from 1 species
UGAAAGGAGAACAGUGGCAAUCUGGAAGACAAUACUGAGAGGAGAGAACUGAUUUUGAAAUAUCUUGGAUAUUUGCUCCUUCCAACUCUGAGUGAAAAUGCCCUCUUUGGGUUCCUUAUAAAGGACAACUGCCAGAAUGGAUUUGCAACACUACUGUUAUCCUGGAGAUACAGAAUAUCCUGUGACCAAAGCCGUCAGACACUCUGCUUGUGUAACUCUUCACUAGUAUGUGCAGCAACUGUUUUCUGGUGCCUUUAUUGCUGGACAUUGUGAGUUUCCACCAACAAGCGCCUGGGUCAGGCUGCAGGUGGAGAGAGAGAGCUGCCUGCUCCAGUUCUGGAGCUCCCGCUUUAAGAACAUCCUGAACUGAAGAAACUCAAACCCACAAAUCAUAAAGUUAGAGGACAAUGUCAAAGCAAGCCAAAGUCUUGCCAAAGAGCUCAAGAAAUGCCAAUACUACAGUCUGAGAGUUACUUGCUAUAACAUGGAGCCACCAUUGCUACAAUAUGCCAAGGUAUGUCCAACCCUAGAGCCAUACUGAAAUGCCUUUAUAUGUAUUUCAGUUCUUAUCACACUAACUUCUGAUCUAAUGGCUUACUGCAGAAGAAAAUUAAAUUAAAAUAAAUAAUAAAAUAAUACAAACUCUGCUGCCA